UCUUCAUUUCACGCACUCUCUCACCGGUCAGAGAGGCGAGAGAGUGUGCGAAAUGAAGAGA
rnacentral:pre_miRNA from 1 species